GAUGAACGCUGGCGGCGUGCCUAAUACAUGCAAGUCGAGCGAACAGACGAGGAGCUUGCUCCUUCGACGUUAGCGGCGGACGGGUGAGUAACACGUAGGUAACCUACCUAUAAGACUGGGAUAACUUCGGGAAACCGGAGCUAAUACCGGAUAAUAUUUCGAACCGCAUGGUUCGAUAGUGAAAGAUGGCUUUGCUAUCACUUAUAGAUGGACCUGCGCCGUAUUAGCUAGUUGGUAAGGUAACGGCUUACCAAGGCAACGAUACGUAGCCGACGUGAGAGGGGGAUCGGCCACACUGGAACGGAGACGCGGUCCAGACUCCUGCGGGGGGCAGCAGUAGGGAAUCUGACGCAGUGGGCGAAAGCCUGACGGAGCAACGCCGCGUGAGUGAUGAAGGUCUUCGGAUCGUAAAACUCUGUUAUUAGGGAAGAACAAACGUGUAAGUAACUGUGCACGUCUUGACGGUACCUAAUCAGAAAGCCACGGCUAACUACGUG
rnacentral:rRNA from 1 species